UACGAGGGGGGCGAGCGUUGUUCGGAAUUAUUGGGCGUAAAGGGUGCGUAGGCGGCUUUUUAAGUUUGGUGUGAAAUCUCCCGGCUCAACUGGGAGGGUGCGCCGAAUACUGAGAGGCUAGAGUGCGGGAGAGGAAAGUGGAAUUCCUGGUGUAGCGGUGAAAUGCGUAGAUAUCAGGAGGAACACCGGUGGUGUAAACGGCUUUCUGGACCGUAACUGACGCUGAGGCACGAAAGCGUGGGUAGCAAACAGG
rnacentral:rRNA from 1 species